UACAGAGGUCCCAAGCGUUGUUCGGAUUCACUGGGCGUAAAGGGUGCGUAGGCGGUCGGGUAAGUCUGAUGUGAAAUCUCACAGCUUAACUGUGAAACUGCAUUGGAUACUAUCCGGCUAGAGGAAUGGAGGGGAGACUGGAAUACUUGGUGUAGCAGUGAAAUGCGUAGAUAUCAUAAGGAACACCGGUGGCGAAGGCGGUUACCUGGAAGAUUCCUGACUCUGAAACACGAAAGCCAGGGGAGCAAACGGG
rnacentral:rRNA from 1 species